rnacentral:rRNA from 1 species
CAGCAGCCACGGGAAUACGAAGGGGGCUAGCGUUGUUCGGAAUCACUGGGCGUAAAGCGCACGUAGGCGGACACUUAAGUCAGAGGUGAAAUCCCAAGGCUCAACCUUGGAACUGCCUUUGAUACUGGGUGUCUUGAGUUCGGGAGAGGUGAGUGGAACUGCGAGUGUAGAGGUGAAAUUCGUAGAUAUUCGCAAGAACACCAGUGGCGAAGGCGGCUCACUGGCCCGAUACUGACGCUGAGGUGCGAAAGCGUGGGGAGCAAACAGGAUUAGAUACCCCCGUAGUCCCUGUCUCUUAUAU